CUAGUGUAGCGGUGAAAUGCGUAGAUAUUAGGAGGAACACCAGUGGCGAAGGCGACUUUCUGGACUGUAACUGACACUGAGGCUCGAAAGCCAGGGUAGCGAACGGGAUUAGAUACCCCGGUAGUCCUGGCCGUAAACGAUGGAUACUAGGUGUAGGAGGUAUCGACCCCUUCUGUGCCGGAGUUAACGCAAUAAGUAUCCCGCCUGGGGACUACGAUCGCAAGAUUGAAACUCAAAGGAAUUGACGGGGGCCCGCACAAGCGGUGGAGUAUGUGGUUUAAUUCGAAGCAACGCGAAGAACCUUACCAGGCCUUGACAUGGAUGUAAAUGCCCUAGAGAUAGGGAGAUAGCUAUACAUCACACAGGUGGUGCAUGGUUGUCGUCAGCUCGUGUCGUGAGAUGUUGGGUUAAGUCCCGCAACGAGCGCAACCCUUAUUGUUAGUUGCUACGCAAGAGCACUCUAGCGAGACUGCCGUUGACAAAACGGAGGAAGGUGGGGACGACGUCAAAUCAUCAUGCCCCUUAUGUCCUGGGCCACACACGUACUACAAUGGUGGUUAACAGAGGGAGGCAAUACCGCGAGGUGGAGCAAAUCCCUAAAAGCCAUCCCAGUUCGGAUUGCAGGCUGCAACCCGCCUGCAUGAAGUUGGAAUCGCUAGUAAUCGCGGAUCAGCAUGCCG
rnacentral:rRNA from 1 species